GUGGGGAAUCUUGCGCAAUGGGCGAAAGCCUGACGCAGCCAUGCCGCGUGAAUGAUGAAGGUCUUAGGAUUGUAAAAUUCUUUCACCGGGGACGAUAAUGACGGUACCCGGAGAAGAAGCUCCGGCUAACUUCGUGCCAGCAGCCGCGGUAAUACGAAGGGGGCUAGCGUUGCUCGGAAUUACUGGGCGUAAAGGGCGCGUAGGCGGACAGCUUAGUCAGAGGUGAAAGCCCAGGGCUCUACCUUGGAAUUGCCUUGGAUACUGGCUGUCUUGAGUUUGGGAGAGGUGAGUGGAACUCCGAGUGUAGAGGUGAAAUUCGUAGAUAUUCGGAAGAACGCCAGUGGCGAUGGCGACUCACUGGCCCAAUACUGACGCUGAGGCGCGAAAGCGUGGGGAGCAAACAGGAUUAGAAACCCGGAUAGUCC
rnacentral:rRNA from 1 species